rnacentral:rRNA from 1 species
GAUGAACGCUAGCGGCAGGCCUAAUACAUGCAAGCUGAACGGUAAAUGUUGUAGCAAUACAAUAUGAGAGUAGCGUAAGGGUGCGUAACACGUAUGCAAUCUACCCGCAACAGGAGGAUAGCUCCCCGAAAGGGGAAUUAAUACUCCAUAAGAUCACGAGAGGGCAUCUGAUUGUGAUUAAACUCCAAGGGGUUGCGGAUGAGCAUGCGUCUGAUUAGUUAGUUGGUGAGGUAACGGCUCACCAAGACGAUGAUCAGUAGGGGAACUGAGAGGUUGGUCCCCCACACUGGCACUGAGAUACGGGCCAGACUCCUACGGGAGGCAGCAGUAGGGAAUAUUGGUCAAUGGGUGAGAGCCUGAACCAGCCAUGCCGCGUGCAGGAAGAAAGCCUUCUGGGUUGUAAACUGCUUUUGCCAAGGGAUAAAAUACCCAUGCGUGGGGAAUUGAAGGUACUUGGUGAAUAAGCCACGGCUAACUACGUGCCAGCCGCCGCAGUAAUAC